UACGAAGGGGGCUAGCGUUGCUCGGAAUCACUGGGCGUAAAGCGCACGUAGGCGGAUCUUUAAGUCAGGGGUGAAAUCCUGGAGCUCAACUCCAGAACUGCCUUUGAUACUGGGAGUCUCGAGUCCGGAGAGGUGAGUGGAACUCGAGAGUAGAGUGGAAAUUCGUAGAUAUUCGGCAAGAACACCAGUGGCGAAGGCGGCUCACUGGCCCGGUACUGACGCUGAGGUGCGAAAGCGUGGGGAGCAAACAGGG
rnacentral:rRNA from 1 species